UACGUAGGGUGCAAGCGUUAAUCGGAAUUACUGGGCGUAAAGCGCGUGUAGGCGGCUCUGCAAGUCGGAUGUGAAAUCCCACGGCUCAACCAUGGAAGUGCAUUCGAAACUGCAGGGCUAGAGUCCUGGAGAGGAAGGUGGAAUGCUUGGUGUAGAGGUGAAAUUCGUAGAUAUCAAGCGGAACACCGGUGGCGAAGGCGGCCUUCUGGACAGUGACUGACGCUGAGACGCGAAAGCGUGGGGAGCAAACAGG
rnacentral:rRNA from 1 species